AAAUUCUUAGUAUAAUAGUGUUAGUAUAUUUAAUUGCAAAUUAAAAGGUUAAGAGUUUUA
rnacentral:tRNA from 1 species